rnacentral:rRNA from 1 species
AUUGAACGCUGGCGGCAGGCCUAACACAUGCAAGUCGAGCGGAUGACGGGAGCUUGCUCCUUGAUUCAGCGGCGGACGGGUGAGUAAUGCCUAGGAAUCUGCCUGGUAGUGGGGGACAACGUUUCGAAAGGAACGCUAAUACCGCAUACGUCCUACGGGAGAAAGCAGGGGACCUUCGGGCCUUGCGCUAUCAGAUGAGCCUAGGUCGGAUUAGCUAGUUGGUGAGGUAAUGGCUCACCAAGGCGACGAUCCGUAACUGGUCUGAGAGGAUGAUCAGUCACACUGGAACUGAGACACGGUCCAGACUCCUACGGGAGGCAGCAGUGGGGAAUAUUGGACAAUGGGCGAAAGCCUGAUCCAGCCACGCCGCGUGUGUGAAGGAGGUCUUCGGAUUGUAAAGCACUUUAAGUUGGGAGGAAGGGCAGUAAGUUAAUACCUUGCUGUUUUGACGUUACCGACAGAAUAAGCACCGGCUGACUCUGUGCCAGCCGCCGCAGUAAUAC